GGUAACAUUUCUAGCUUGCUAGAAGAUGACGAGUGGCGGACGGGUGAGUAAUACUUAGGAAUAUGCCUUUGUGUGGGGGAUAACUAUUGGAAACGAUAGCUAAUACCGCAUAACGUCUUCGGACCAAAGGGGGCUUCGGCUCCCGCGCAAAGAGUAGCCUAAGCGAGAUUAGCUUGUUGGUGAGGUAAAGGCUCACCAAGGCGACGAUCUCUAGCUGUUCUGAGAGGAAGAUCAGCCACACUGGGACUGAGACACGGCCCAGACUCCUACGGGAGGCAGCAGUGGGGAAUAUUGCACAAUGGGGGCAACCCUGAUGCAGCCAUGCCGCGUGUGUGAAGAAGGCCUUCGGGUUGUAAAGCACUUUCAGUUGUGAGGAAAGGUUGGUGGUUAAUACCCAUCAGCUGUGACGUUAGCAACAGAAGAAGCACCGGCUAACUCCGUGCCAGCAGCCGCGGUAAUACGGAGGGUGCGAGCGUUAAUCGGAAUUACUGGGCGUAAAGCGCACGCAGGCGGUUAUAUAAGCUAGAUGUGAAAGCCCCGGGCUCAACCUGGGAAUAGCAUUUAGAACUGUAUGACUAGAGUCUUGGAGAGGGGGGUGGAAUUCCAGGUGUAGCGGUG
rnacentral:rRNA from 1 species